rnacentral:lncRNA from 1 species
UUUAGAUUAAUGGCUUAGAUCUAAAUGAUUUUUCUUCCUCAUUCAUAACUAUUCAGUUGCCAUGGAAGGUUCUUCCUCUUCUCCGUCUCUCUCUGCAACUUCUCAAAAUGAAGGAUCAAACUGUUUAAAGUUUCUUUCAACAGCAAAAGAAAUGAUGGGAGAUUUGUUUUAACAAAAAAAAAAAAAAAAAAAAUGAUGAGAUUUGGUUUAGCAACAAGACAAUGGAGACUGGAGAGAGAUGGUUUUCCAAUAUCCACUUCCAUCUAAUUUCUCCAUUGUUAUUGUAAUUCAG